rnacentral:rRNA from 1 species
GUCUAUGGCCAUACCACCCUGAAUGUGCUUGAUCUUAUCUGAUCUUGAAAGCUAAUCAGGCAAGAGAAAGCAAUAAAGC